rfam:Canis lupus familiaris chromosome 37, whole genome shotgun sequence.
ACCUUGGUGGCUCAGUGGUUGAGCAUCUGACUCUGGCUCAGGUUGUGAUCCUAGGGUC